UAAUUCGAUGCAACGCGAAGAACCUUACCUGGCCUUGACAUACAGAGAACUUUCCAGAGAUGGAUUGGUGCCUUCGGGAACUCUGAUACAGGUGCUGCAUGGCUGUCGUCAGCUCGUGUCGUGAGAUGUUGGGUUAAGUCCCGCAACGAGCGCAACCCUUUUCCUUAUUUGCCAGCACUUCGGGUGGGAACUUUAAGGAUACUGCCAGUGACAAACUGGAGGAAGGCGGGGACGACGUCAAGUCAUCAUGGCCCUUACGGCCAGGGCUACACACGUGCUACAAUGGUCGGUACAAAGGGUUGCUACUGCGCGAGCAGAUGCUAAUCUCAAAAAGCCGAUCGUAGUCCGGAUCGCAGUCUGCAACUCGACUGCGUGAAGUCGGAAUCGCUAGUAAUCGCGGAUCAGAAUGCCGCGGUGAAUACGUUCCCGGGCCUUGUACACACCGCCCGUCACACCAUGGGAGUUUGUUGCACCAGAAGUAGGUAGUCUAACCGCAAGGAGGAACGCUUACCACGGUGUGGCCGAUGACUGGGGUGAAGUCGUA
rnacentral:rRNA from 1 species